CUUCACCGACCCCAGCCACAAUGGACGGUCCUCCGGACGGUCCUGGCCGUAGGUCGCGAGCAGCGCCUGCGCCUC
rnacentral:antisense_RNA from 1 species